AGCGAAGCCAACCAGUUUACUCUUACCGCUCAGGAGUAAUUCUACUCACGGACGUAACACCAUGUACGAAAAUUUCGAG